GGAUGUAGCAGGUUUGAGCGGAGCUGUGGGAGAAGUUUGGUGGGCAGGGACACAGUGUGGCACGUAGGCAAGUUUGCCAGAGUGAGCUCAGCAAUGGCGAUGCCGCUACCGCUGUGCUUUCUGCGAAAGAGGAUGGCGAGGGAGAGACUGAGCGUGGCCGGGAGCUCAAGGACAUCGCUGUGGAGGUCAUGCAUGCAUGGUGAGCUGACGAGCGGGGCCAGAUAAGGUGUACGGGCGCCAAGUGUUGCAU
rnacentral:lncRNA from 1 species